rfam:Ruminococcus lactaris ATCC 29176 Scfld_02_40 genomic scaffold, whole genome shotgun sequence.
AUUCGUGGCGAUGCGUUCAGGGGAAACACCCGUUCCCAUCCCGAACACGAUGGUAAAGACCUGAACGGCCGAUGGUACUGCACUGGAGACGGUGUGGGAGAGUAGGUGGCCGCCAAAU